ensembl:lncRNA novel transcript
CUCUGAGAUUUCCUGCUCCCCACCCCCGACCUCCUUCUGCCCUGCUCCCUGUCCCCUCUGCUCCUUCCCAGCACCUCGGCCCUCACAGGUCCUGCCACCUGGGCACCUUUCCUCCAGCCCCUUCCCUUCAUUCAGGCCUCAGCAAAUGUCAGCGCCUGCAGGAGGCCUCCCCAGAUUGCUCUCACAAAAGGAGCUGCCUCACUGGCACCCUUCACCUCAUGAAACAAUUCUAAUUUCUUUCCAGCACUGGCCAGAGGACCAGGUUUUGGCUGCUGUGACCCAGCAUCUUCGUGUAUCUCUCUUGAAGAACAUACGAGGGCAUUUCUGCUGAAUGCACACAUGGGGUGGGACUGCUGAGCCUGACAGAGGGGAGCAGCCGGGAUCCAGGCACACCUGCCCACAGCUUGGCUGACAGCAUGGCUUGCCCCAGGCCCUCGAGAGCACUACUGUCUUUAACUGAAUCCUUCCUGGCCAAGGGCAGAUAUGCUCCCAGGACGUCCACUCCACUCCUGUGUGGCCGGUGCCCCCUUCCAGCCCCACACCGCCCAGGAGGCUCCUUCUCC